ensembl:misc_RNA Metazoa_SRP Metazoan signal recognition particle RNA
GCUGGGCAUGGUGGCGCAUGCCUGUAAUCCCAGCUACUCAGAAGGCUGAGCCUAGAGGAUCCCUUGAGUCCAGGAGUUUUGGGCUGCAGUGUGCUAUGCUGAUCCGGUGUCUGUACUUAGUUCAGUGUCACUAUGGUGACCUCCCAGGAGCAGGGGAACACCAGGUUACCUAAGGAGGGGUGAACUGGCCCAGGUCAGAAACCGAGCAAGUCAAGAAUUACAGGAAUGAGAGUUCGGAGAAACCCUAGGUCUCCUUGGCACAGGCCGAAAUUUUCUUAAAAGAGACCCAGA